rnacentral:rRNA from 1 species
GCUUAGAAGUGAGAAUGCCGGUAUGAGUAGCGAAAGACGGGUGAGAAUCCCGUCCACCGAAUGCCUAAGGUUUCCUGAGGAAGGCUCGUCCGCUCAGGGUUAGUCAGGACCUAAGCCGAGGCCGACAGGCGUAGGCGAUGGACAACAGGUUGAUAUUCCUGUACCACCUCUUUAUCGUUUGAGCAAUGGAGGGACGCAGAAGGAUAGAAGAAGCGUGCGAUUGGUUGUGCACGUCCAAGCAGUUAGGCUGAUAAGUAGGCAAAUCCGCUUAUCGUGAAGGCUGAGCUGUGAUGGGGAAGCUCCUUAUGGAGCGAAGUCUUUGAUUCCCCGCUGCCAAGAAAAGCUUCUAGCGAGAUAAAAGGUGCCUGUACCGCAAACCGACACAGGUAGGCGAGGAGAGAAUCCUAAGGUGUGCGAGAGAACUCUGGUUAAGGAACUCGGCAAAAUGACCCCGUAACUUCGGGAGAAGGGGUGCUUUCUUAACGGAAAGCCGCAGUGAAUAGGCCCAAGCGACUGUUUAGCAAAAACACAGGUCUCUGCGAAGCCGUAAGGCGAAGUAUAGGGGCUGACACCUGCCCGGUGCUGGAAGGUUAAGGAGAGGGGUUAGCGUAAGCGAAGCUCUGAACUGAAGCCCCAGUAAACGGCGGCCGUAACUAUAACGGUCCUAAGGUAGCGAAAUUCCUUGUCGGGUAAGUUCCGACCCGCACGAAAGGUGUAACGAUUUGGGCACUGUCUCAACCAGAGACUCGGUGAAAUUAUAGUACCUGUGAAGAUGCAGGUUACCCGCGACAGGACGGAAAGACCCCGUGGAGCUUUACUGUAGCCUGAUAUUGAAUUUUGGUACAGUUUGUACAGGAUAGGCGGGAGCCAUUGAAACCGGAGCGCUAGCUUCGGUGGAGGCGCUGGUGGGAUACCGCCCUGACUGUAUUGAAAUUCUAACCUACGGGUCUUAUCGACCCGGGAGACAGUGUCAGGUGGGCAGUUUGACUGGGGCGGUCGCCUCCUAAAGUGUAACGGAGGCGCCCAAAGGUUCCCUCAGAAUGGUUGGAAAUCAUUCGUAGAGUGCAAAGGCAUAAGGGAGCUUGACUGCGAGACCUACAAGUCGAGCAGGGACGAAAGUCGGGCUUAGUGAUCCGGUGGUUCCGCAUGGAAGGGCCAUCGCUCAACGGAUAAAAGCUACCCCGGGGAUAACAGGCUUAUCUCCCCCAAGAGUCCACAUCGACGGGGAGGUUUGGCACCUCGAUGUCGGCUCAUCGCAUCCUGGGGCUGUAGUCGGUCCCAAGGGUUGGGCUGUUCGCCCAUUAAAGCGGUACGCGAGCUGGGUUCAGAACGUCGUGAGACAGUUCGGUCCCUAUCCGUCGUGGGCGUAGGAAAUUUGAGAGGAGCUGUCCUUAGUACGAGAGGACCGGGAUGGACGCACCGCUGGUGUACCAGUUGUUCUGCCAAGGGCAUAGCUGGGUAGCUAUGUGCGGAAGGGAUAAGUGCUGAAAGCAUCUAAGCAUGAAGCCCCCCUCAAGAUGAGAUUUCCCAUAGCGUAAGCUAGUAAGAUCCCUGAAAGAUGAUCAGGUUGAUAGGUUCGAGGUGGAAGCAUGGUGACAUGUGGAGCUGACGAAUACUAAUAGAUCGAGGACUUAACCAUAUAAUAUGUA